GGAGUUAGCCGGUGCUUCUUCUGUGAGUGAUGUCCUUCCUGCCGGCUAUUAACCCGCAGGCCUUCUUCCUCACUGAAAGUGCUUUACAACCCGAAGGCCUUCUUCACACACGCGGCAUGGCUGGAUCAGGGUUGCCCCCAUUGUCCAAUAUUCCCCACUGCUGCCUCCCGUAGGAGUCUGGGCCGUGUCUCAGUCCCAGUGUGGCUGAUCAUCCUCUCAGACCAGCUACGGAUCGUCGCCUUGGUGAGCCGUUACCUCACCAACCAGCUAAUCCGACAUAGGCUCAUCCGAUAGCGCGAGGCCCGAAGGUCCCCCGCUUUCCCCCGUAGGGCGUAUGCGGUAUUAGCCUGGGUUUCCCCAGGUUAUCCCCCACUACCGGGCAGAUUCCUAUGCAUUACUCACCCGUCCGCCGCUCGCCACCAGGGAGCAAGCUCCCCGUGCUGCCGCUCGACUUGCAUGUGUUAGGCCUGCCGCCAGCGUUCAAUCUGAGCCAGUANACACACUCGACAGAGCGGCGGCGCGACGACGC
rnacentral:rRNA from 1 species